AUACGUAUGGGGCAAGCGUUAUCCGGAAUUAUUGGGCGUAAAGAGUGCGUAGGUGGUUACCUAAGCGCAAGGUUUAAUCUUGAGGCUCAACCUCAUUCUGCCUUGCGAACUGGGCUACUUGAGUGCAGGAGGGGAAAGCGGAAUUCCCAGUGUAGCGGUGAAAUGCGUAGAUAUUGGGAAGAACACCGGUGGCGAAGGCGGCUUUCUGGACUGUAACUGACACUGAGGCACGAAAGCGUGGGGAGCAAACAGGAUUAGAUACCCUGGUAGUCCACGCCGUAAACGAUGAGCACUAGUUGUUGGGUAUGAAUGUAUUCAGUGACGCAGUUAACGCAAUAAGUGCUCCGCCUGGGGAGUACGGUGGCAACACUAAAACUCAAAUGAAUAGACGGGG
rnacentral:rRNA from 1 species